rnacentral:rRNA from 1 species
GGCCAGACUCCUACGGGAGGCAGCAGUGGGGAAUAUUGCACAAUGGGGGAAACCCUGAUGCAGCGACGCCGCGUGAGUGAAGAAGUAUUUCGGUAUGUAAAGCUCUAUCAGCAGGGAAGAAAAUGACGGUACCUGACUAAGAAGCCCCGGCUAACUACGUGCCAGCAGCCGCGGUAAUACGUAGGGGGCGAGCGUUAUCCGGAUUCACUGGGUGUAAAGGGAGCGUAGACGGCCAUGCAAGCCAGGGGUGAAAGCCCGGGGCCCAACCCCGGGACUGCCCUUGGAACUGCAUGGCUGGAGUGCGGGAGGGGCAGGCGGAAUUCCUAGUGUAGCGGUGAAAUGCGUAGAUAUUAGGAGGAACACCAGUGGCGAAGGCGGCCUGCUGGACGAUGACUGACGUUGAGGCUCGAAAGCGUGGGGAGCAAACAGGAUUAGAUACCCCUGUA